rnacentral:rRNA from 1 species
CUAAGUUUGAUGGCGACCGGCGCACGGGUGAGUAACACGUAUCCAACCUGCCGAUGACUCGGGGAUAGCCUUUCGAAAGAAGGAUUAAUACCCGAUGGCAUAGUUCUUCCGCAUGGUAGAACUAUUAAAGAAUUUCGGUCAUCGAUGGGGAUGCGUUCCAUUAGGUUGUUGGCGGGGUAACGGCCCACCAAGCCUUCGAUGGAUAGGGGUUCUGAGAGGAAGGUCCCCCACAUUGGAACUGAGACACGGUCCAAACUCCUACGGGAGGCAGCAUG